rnacentral:tRNA from 1 species
GAUGGCAUAGCUCAGUGGCAGAGCACGUGCUUAGUGUGCACGAGAUCCUGGGUUCAAAUCCCAGUACUUUCA